rnacentral:rRNA from 1 species
GAUGAACGCUGGCGGCGUGCCUAAUACAUGCAAGUCGAGCGAACAGACGAGGAGCUUGCUCCUCUGACGUUAGCGGCGGACGGGUGAGUAACACGUGGAUAACCUACCUAUAAGACUGGGAUAACUUCGGGAAACCGGAGCUAAUACCGGAUAAUAUAUUGAACCGCAUGGUUCAAUAGUGAAAGACGGUUUUGCUGUCACUUAUAGAUGGAUCCGCGCCGCAUUAGCUAGUUGGUAAGGUAACGGCUUACCAAGGCAACGAUGCGUAGCCGACCUGAGAGGGUGAUCGGCCACACUGGAACUGAGACACGGUCCAGACUCCUACGGGAGGCAGCAGUAGGGAAUCUUCCGCAAUGGGCGAAAGCCUGACGGAGCAACGCCGCGAGAGUGAUGAAGGUCUUCGGAUCGUAAAACUCUGUUAUUAGGGAAGAACAAAUGUGUAAGUAACUAUGCACGUCUUGACGGUACCUAAUCAGAAAGCCACGGCUAACUACGUG